CUAGUGGUUAGGAUUCGGCGCUCU
rnacentral:piRNA from 3 species